rnacentral:lncRNA from 1 species
CCCUUUCUAUUGAUUUACACUUAGGUACAUUUAAUUCCAAACCUUGGAGAUGGCUGACAGGGUCAUUCAAUGGAGCUUUUGUAGUGAAGAAGCCAUUAAGGAAGUGGAGAGGCUGGAGCCAUGCAAUUUCCAUUCGGAUGAAGAAUCAAAGACUAAUUUUAUUCAGAGAGCGAAGUCGUGCCAAGUGCUUAGCAGGGCACAGGCCAGAGUCAUCGCUUCAGCAUAAGGAGCCUGGCGUUUGGGAUGUGAGCAGUUUAGGAGUACAGGUGAACCCUGAUCUGGCCCCCACAGCAGGGACGCUCUGCGCCUGGUCAUCGGUUGCCUGGCGUGGAGAUGAGACGGUGAUGGAGAAAGGCCGUCGCUGGAGCAGGAGGGGACCUCACUGCCCAGGGGUGAGAUACCAGCAUAAUCACGCAAUAUCUAGAUUAAUACAAACCUAAAGUCUCUUCAAGGUACUUUCAUUGGAAAGUUUUCCAAUUUCGUUUCACCUUGGAGGUGAUGUCUCAUCCAAGUUUGGUUUUGUUUUCAGAUGUAUUUCCCUGCUCUGUGAGCUUCACGGAAUGACUUCACAUUAGGGGAGGCUGUAAGGUGCCCUGUGCGCCAGGCCCUCAUAAGCGCUCCCAGGGCUGCCUGCUCUGCAGGACCACAGCGUCGCUGUGCCCAGCUUGGGGUGGGCUCCUGUGCCCCUGCGUGGGUGCCCGCCUCACCUCCACACGGCCAGCUCUUCUCUGCCUGCGUGUGUGGAGUAGAGAAAGGGAGAGGAGGCAGGAGGGGCUCCGGAGGGCAAGGGGCACAGAGCAGGCUGCGGACAGGAGGAGGAGACCCCCAGGGGCCCGCAGCGGGCGUGGUGGGGGCCGCCAUGCUCUUAGUUCAUGUCCCCCAGGAAACUCACAAAUCGAAAUGCUCAGCCCCACCUGAUGGUGUUCGGAGGUGGGUCCUUUGGGAGGCGAUCAGUUCAGAUGGUCGUGAAGGUAGGUCCCCGCGAAUGUGAUUUGUGCCCUUACCAAAGAGGCCCAGAGAGCUCCCUCACCCCUCCACCAUGUGAGGAAGCAGUGAGAAGGCCCGGUCCACAAACCGGGACGCCCUCUCCCGUCGCCAAAUCCGCUGGCGCCUUGAUGCCUGACUGGCAGCCUCCAAAACUGUGAGAAACACGUUUUUGUUCCAAGCCAGCCAGUGUAGAGUAUUUUGUGACAGCAGCCUAAAGGGAC